rnacentral:piRNA from 1 species
UCUCGUUUCACAAUUCUUGGUACCUAACACU